rnacentral:rRNA from 1 species
CGGGGAAUUUUGGACAAUGGGCGCAAGCCUGAUCCAGCCAUGCCGCGUGCGGGAAGAAGGCCUUCGGGUUGUAAACCGCUUUUGUCAGGGAAGAAAUCUUCUGAGUUAAUACCUCGGGAGGAUGACGGUACCUGAAGAAUAAGCACCGGCUAACUACGUGCCAGCAGCCGCGGUAAUACGUAGGGUGCAAGCGUUAAUCGGAAUUACUGGGCGUAAAGCGUGCGCAGGCGGUUUUGUAAGACAGAGGUGAAAUCCCCGGGCUCAACCUGGGAACUGCCUUUGUGACUGCAAGGCUUGAGUGCGGCAGAGGGGGGAUGGAAUUCCGCGUGUAGCGUGAAAUGCGUAGAUAUGCGGAGGAACACCGAUGGCGAAGGCAAUCCCCU